rnacentral:rRNA from 1 species
CCGGCGCACGGGUGAGUAACGCGUAUACAAUUUGCCUUUUACUGAAGAAUAGCCCAGAGAAAUUUGGAUUAAUGCUUCAUAGUAUUAUUUGGUCACCUGGCCGAGUAAUUAAAGCUCCAGCGGUAAAAGAUGAGUAUGCGUCCUAUUAGCUAGAUGGUAAGGUAACGGCUUACCAUGGCGACGAUAGGUAGGGGUCCUGAGAGGGAGAUCCCCCACACUGGUACUGAGACACGGACCAG